rnacentral:lncRNA from 10 species
AUUUUCAAAACAUCUGGAGCAAGAGACAAAUCCCAUCAGCUCAGUUCCAACAAUAUAUGCAGAUGGGCAACUGAUGGUCAGACUCCAGUGGUUCUUCAAAACUUUCUAGGAGGUAAACAAGAUGAAAGGGAAAGCACACAAAUUUGCUGGAAUUUGGAAAACACGAACCCUGGAAUUUGGAGGAGUCACUUCCACUGGAAAAUACUUUUAUAUUAUUUAUAGUGGCUACCAUUACCGUGCUCACUUUACAGGUGAGGUUCAGAGAUUUAUGUAACAUGCCAAAGGUCACACAGCUGGACACAGCAGAACCAAGAUUCAAAUCUGCACAGCAGUAAAUGAAACCAGCCCAGCUGCGUGCUCACCUGAAACUUAUUUUCUCCUUCACGUUCCAAACUCAUGACUUGCUUGUGGCAGAAAAAAAGAACUACUUCGGGGUCCGCAACCCCUGGCAGUGGACCGGUACCAGCCCAUGGCCAGUUAGGAUCUGGGUAACACAGCAGCAGGGCCAUUUCAGUCCAAGGAGGAAUGGGACGCAUAGGUGACC